UCAAGCCGCCCGCUCCCCUCCCGCCGUCCCGAGUUGGUAGGCUCCGCCGCCGCGGCCGCCGGCUUCCCUGCACGGGCGGCUGGGCGCUUCCAAACAGCGAGCGGCGGGGGGGAGGAGGAAAGUGAGGUGAAGGGGACGGCGAGACUGUCUGAGAGCAGCUUAUUUUGAGAAGUCGCUUCCAGGGUGAACGUACCAUCAUCGAAAUUGGCUCUAUUACCGUGUCGAACUGAAAUGUUUGCGCAACGCACACCCACAGCGUUCCCGUGGGUCCUCCCCUUGGCACGUACGCGCCCCAGCGCGCUCCCACUCCCUCACGCCUAGGUGUGUGCGUAAACGCCCUUCUCCCGAGACCGGCUCCGCCCUUCGUCGCUCGGCUUGGUGCAGCCCCGUCCCCCCCCACCGCCGGGGGUGAAUGGUACGGCCCCGGCGCCCCUCAGCCUCCCCUGCCUUCACCUAGUCGGAGUGGUGCGCGCCCCCCUGGUGCAGACGCGGAACUGGCUCGCGCUGCCAGCGGCGCCCGGGUCGGGGAGCCACUGACGCCCGGCUUGCCCGGGGACGUCCAGCCGAGCCCGGCCGGUCCCCCUAGGCCCAGGAGACUUGGCGUUUCAGAUAACAUCAGAAUUCGUCCUGCGAACCUUGACUCCAUGCCUGGUGCCUUGAAGUUUCUCUGAGAUGAACUGAUGAAUUGGAGCCAUGGUGCAGAAGAAGAAGUCCUGUCCUCGGUUACUUGACUACCUGGUGAUCGUAGGGGCCAGGCACCCGAGCAGUGACAGUGUGGCCCAGACUCCGGAACUGCUACGGCGGUACCCGCUAGAGGACCACGCCGAGUUUCCCCUGCCCCCGGAUGUCGUGUUCUUCUGCCAGCCAGAGGGCUGCCUAAGCGUGCGGCAGCGGCGCAUGACCCUGCGGGACGACACCUCUUUUGUCUUCACCCUCACCGACAAGGACACUGGCGUCACCCGUUAUGGCAUCUGCGUCAACUUUUACCGCUCUUUCCAAAAGCGUGUGCCUAAGGAGAAAGGGGAGGCCGGGCCAGGGUCCCGGGGGAAGGAAGGGCCCCGAGCCCCCUGCGUCUCCGAGGAGGUGGGCCCUAAGACCUCGGAGAGCAGCCCGUCCCUGCAGCCGCCCAGUGCCGACUCCACCCCGGACGUGAGCCAGUCUCCGCGGGCCAGACGCCGGGCCAAGGCGGGGACCCGGUCCCGCAACAGCACGCUGACGUCUCUGUGCGUGCUCAGCCACUACCCCUUUUUCUCCACCUUCCGAGAAUGUCUGUACACCCUCAAGCGUCUGGUGGACUGCUGCAGUGAGCGCCUGCUGGGCAAGAAACUGGGCCUCCCUCGAGGCAUACAGAGGGACACCAUGUGGCGCAUCUUCACCGGAUCGUUGUUAGUGGAGGAGAAGUCGAGCGCCCUGCUGCACGACCUCCGGGAGAUUGAGGCCUGGAUCUACCGCUUGCUGCGCUCCCCAGUACCUGUCUCGGGGCAGAAACGAGUGGACAUCGAGGUCCUGCCCCAGGAGCUCCAGCAGGCUCUGACCUUUGCUCUCCCAGACCCCUCUCGAUUCACCCUAGUGGACUUCCCGCUGCACCUUCCCCUGGAGCUUCUGGGUGUGGACGCCUGUCUACAGGUGCUCACCUGCAUCCUGUUAGAGCACAAGGUCGUGCUCCAGUCCCGAGACUACAACGCACUCUCCAUGUCCGUGAUGGCCUUUGUGGCGAUGCUCUACCCCUUGGAGUAUAUGUUUCCUGUUAUCCCACUGCUGCCCACCUGCAUGGCGUCGGCAGAGCAGCUGCUAUUGGCUCCAACACCAUACAUCAUUGGGGUCCCUGCCAGCUUCUUCCUCUACAAACUGGACUUCAAAAUGCCUGAUGACGUGUGGCUGGUAGAUCUGGACAGCAACAGGGUGAUUGCCCCCACCAACGCGGAAGUGCUGCCUGUCCUGCCAGAACCGGAAUCGUUAGAGUUGAAGAAGCAUUUGAAGCAGGCCCUCGCCAGCAUGAGUCUCAACACCCAACCCAUCCUCAAUCUGGAGAAAUUCCAUGAGGGCCAGGAGAUCCCCCUUCUCCUGGGAAGGCCUUCUAAUGACCUGCAGUCCACACCUUCCACCGAGUUCAACCCGCUCAUAUACGGCAAUGACGUGGAUUCGGUGGAUGUCGCAACCAGAGUGGCCAUGGUCCGUUUCUUCAACUCCCCCAACGUGCUGCGGGGCUUUCAGAUGCACACGCGUACCCUACGUCUCUUCCCCCGGCCCGUGGUGGCUUUCCAAGCCGGCUCCUUUCUAGCCUCACGCCCCCGGCAGACUCCUUUCGCCGAGAAACUGGCCAGGACUCAGGCCGUGGAGUACUUUGGAGAAUGGAUCCUGAACCCCACCAACUACGCCUUCCAGCGGAUUCACAACAACAUGUUCGAUCCAGCUCUGAUUGGCGACAAGCCCAAGUGGUACGCCCACCAGCUGCAGCCCAUUCACUAUCGAGUGUAUGACAGCGGUUCCCAGUUGGCCGAGGCGCUGAGCGUGCCGCCUGAGCGAGACUCUGACUCUGACCCAACCGAUGACAGCGGGAGUGACAGCAUGGAUUACGACGACUCGAGCUCUUCUUACUCUUCCCUUGGUGACUUUGUCAGCGAGAUGAUGAAGUGCGACAUCAACGGUGAUACUCCCAACGUGGACCCUCUGACACACGCGGCGCUGGGGGAUGCCAGCGAGGUGGCGAUUGAGGAGCUACAGAACCAGAAGGAGGCAGAGGAACCCGGCCCGGAUGGCGAGCACUCUCAGGAAAACCCGCCACUGCGCUCUAGCUCCAGCACCACUGCCAGCAGUAGCCCCAGCACCGUCAUCCACGGCGCCAGCUCUGAACCUGUCGACUCAACAGAGGUGGACGAUAAGGCGGCAGGAGGCGUCCCCAAGUCCCUCCCCACCAUGCCUCCCGGCGUGGGCAAGUGCAGCGUGGACAGACGUCAGCCAGAAACGGGAGACGGUUCAGUGCGCCGGCAAGCCUCUGACAGUCCGUGCCUCCAGCCCCAGUAUGGCGUUCCCCCUGAGGAAGACGAUGAGCAGGGUGAAAGUUAUACCCCCCGACUCAGCCAGCAUGUCAGUGGCCAUCGGGCUCAAAAGUUGCUGCGGCCCAACAGCUUGAAACUGGCAAGUGACUCAGACGCAGAGUCGGACUCUCGAGCAAGUUCGCCCACCUCCACCGUCUCCAACAAUAGCACGGAGGGCUUCGGGGGCAUCAUGUCUUUCGCCAGCAGCCUGUAUCGGAACCACAGCACCAGCUUCAGCCUUUCAAACCUCACGCUGCCCACCAAAGGAGCCCGAGAGAAGAGCACGCCCUUCCCCAGUCUGAAAGUAUUUGGGCUAAAUACUCUAAUGGAGAUUGUUACUGAAGCCGGCCCUGGGAGUGGUGAAGGAAACAGGCGGGCCUUAGUGGACCAGAAGUCAUCGGUUAUUAAACACAGCCCGACCGUGAAAAGAGAGCCUCCGUCACCCCAGGGCCGGGCCAGUAACUCUAGUGAGAACCAGCAGUUCCUGAAGGAGGUGGUGCACAGCGUGCUGGAUGGCCAGGGUGUCGGCUGGCUCAACAUGAAAAAGGUGCGGCGGCUGCUGGAGAGCGAGCAGCUGCGUGUCUUUGUCCUGAGCAAGCUGAACCGCACGGUGCAGUCCGAGGAGGAGGCCCGGCAGGACGUCAUCCCCGACGUGGAGGUCAGCCGGAAGGUGUACAAGGGCAUGUUGGACCUGCUCAAGUGCACGGUCCUCAGUCUGGAGCAGUCCUUCGCCCACGCCGGCCUGGGUGGCAUGGCCAGCAUCUUCGGGCUCCUGGAAAUCGCCCAGACCCACUACUACAGUAAAGAACCAGACAAGCGGAAGAGAAGUCCCACGGAGAGCGUCAGUACACCAGUCAGCAAGGAUCCUGGCCUGGCUGGGCGGGGGGACCCAAAGGCCAUGGCCCAGCUGAGGGUCCCCCAGCUGGGACCUCGAGCACCAAGUGCCCCAGGAAAGAGUCCCAAGGAGCUGGACACCAGGAGUCUAAAGGAAGAGAACUUUGUGGCAUCUAUUGAAUUGUGGAGCAAGCACCAGGAAGUGAAAAAGCAAAAAGCUUUGGAAAAACAGAGGCCUGAAGUAAUCAAACCCACCUUUGACCUUGGUGAAACCGACGAGAAAAAGUCCCAGGUCAGCGCAGACAGUGGUGUGAGCCUGACAUCCGGUUCCCAGAGGACCGAUCCAGACUCUGUCGUCGGUGUGAGUCCCGCCGUGAUGAUCCGAAGCUCAAGUCAGGACUCUGAAGUUAGCACCGUGGUGAGCAACAGCUCCGGAGAGACCCUGGGAGCAGACAGCGACCUCAGCAGCAGUGCGGGCGAUGGCCCAGGCGGCGAGGGCAGUGCCCACUUGGCAGGCUCUCGAGGCACCUUGUCUGACAGUGAGAUCGAGACCAACUCUGCCACCAGUGCCAUCUUUGGUAAAGCCCAUAGCUUGAAGCCAAGUGUAAAGGAGAAGCUGCUGGGCAGCCCAGUUCGCUCUUCUGAAGAUGUCAGCCAGCGAGUCUACCUCUACGAGGGACUCCUAGGAAGGGACAAAGGAUCGAUGUGGGACCAGUUAGAGGACGCUGCUAUGGAGACCUUUUCUAUAAGCAAAGAGCGUUCUGCUUUAUGGGACCAAAUGCAGUUCUGGGAAGACGCGUUCUUAGAUGCUGUGAUGUUGGAGAGAGAAGGAAUGGGCAUGGACCAGGGUCCCCAGGAAAUGAUAGACAGGUACCUGUCCCUCGGAGAACACGACCGGAAGCGCCUGGAGGACGAUGAAGACCGCCUGCUGGCCACACUCCUGCACAAUCUCAUCUCGCACAUGCUGCUGAUGAAGGUAAAUAAGAAUGACAUCCGGAAGAAGGUGAGGCGCCUGAUGGGAAAGUCCCAUAUUGGGCUUGUGUACAGUCAGCAAAUCAAUGAAGUCCUUGACCAGCUGGCCAACCUGAAUGGACGAGAUCUCUCCAUCCGGUCCAGUGGCAGCCGGCACAUGAAGAAGCAGACAUUUGUGGUACAUGCAGGGACAGACACAAAUGGAGAUAUCUUUUUCAUGGAGGUGUGUGACGACUGCGUGGUGCUGCGCAGUAACAUCGGGACGCUGUACGAGCGCUGGUGGUACGAGAAACUCAUCAACAUGACCUACUGCCCCAAGACCAAGGUGCUGUGCUUGUGGCGCAGAAACGGCUCCGAGACCCAGCUCAACAAGUUCUAUACUAAGAAGUGUCGGGAGCUGUACUACUGCGUGAAGGACAGCAUGGAGCGCGCCGCCGCCCGCCAGCAGAGCAUCAAGCCGGGGCCGGAACUGGGUGGCGAGUUCCCCGUGCAGGACAUGAAGACUGGCGAAGGGGGCUUGCUGCAGGUCACCCUCGAAGGGAUCAACCUCAAGUUCAUGCACAACCAGGAGCGGAAGGUUUUCAUAGAGCUGAAUCACAUUAAAAAGUGCAAUACAGUCCGAGGCGUCUUUGUCCUGGAGGAAUUUGCAGCCCAGCGCCUCGUCCAACCGCCCCGGGGCCACACCAGGGUCCUGCAGCCUCCAAGCCGGAGGGAGGCGCACAGGGGCGCAGGCAGGCCUAGGGAGCCGGGAGCCAGGCUCCCCCCCACGUCCAGGGCUGAGCGGCAUCUGGGUUCUCACCCUGGGGCUUUGAGUUCCUGCUGUGUUUGUGCUUCAUUCUUUUGUGCCCCUCAUCGCUGCUAUGAAAACCUUCGUUCUCCAGCAGGUAAAGUGACCUCGCCGCGCUGCCUCCCCAGGCCCCGCCUGCCGCCUCGGCCCAGGUGGGCGGGCUCCCUUUGCCCAGGCCAGCCGCUCCCAUCGCCAACCUUCCCUAACCUUCCCUCCACCCUCUUCCUUCCCCAUGUCCUCCACCCGCGCUGGCUCCCCGGUUCUGUACGCCUUCCUCUCUUCUGCCAGAGAGAUGUUUCGGGGGCAGGGGGGUCUUCCGGCUCAGGAGAAGGACCUGGGCUCCUUGUUCUACUUUGGACGAGUGUAUUUACUCCCUGUUUACCCUGGGCCCCAAACUCCCCUCCCAGGGUCAGGAGGAGGAGGGGCCCCCUGGGGGUGUGACGCCCCCCCCACUCCUGGUCUCAGGGCUGGGACGGGCUGAGGCCAGGGACUGCUUCCCUGCUCUGGCCGCGCAGCAGCCCCGCAGGGCUGGGGCUGGGGGUCUCAGUCUUGCCCCCCGGGCCGUGGACCUGCGUGUGUCUUGCCUGCCGCUCCCCGGCACGUCCCCCGGGCGCCGUCCUCGCCUGUCUCUGCUGUUCCGUGUGUCUGCUCCAGGGCCCUCUGACGCUCUCCCUCACACGGGCAGGCCUGGGCCUCUCCUGCCAUCAGGGAAGGAAACUCCCGAGUCUGGUGGGUUUAGUGUCCCGCCCCUGCUUCAUCCCACCUCAGGAGCCUCCGUGUCGGGGCUGGGAGCACAGGGCGUCUGCUGCCUUGACUGGAGGGUGGGGCUGGGCAGGGGGCUGAGUGCUUGGGGGUCCCAGCAAGGCGAGGCACAGGCUAGGAAACUGCUCUUCUGGCCAAAAGCUGGGCGCGCCCGCUGUGGUCCUCAGGGGCCAGGACUGGAGCGGCGGCCAGCGGGGCAGAGCCCAGCCUGCUCUCGGCUGGGGCGCUCCCCGUGGGUCAAGCCGCGGCCGUGGAGCCAGGGGCCACUGCGGACCUCAGGGCGUCUGGGCCUGUGUCCCCUCGCUCACAGGGGCUGGGUGAGGCCCAGAGGGGAAGGGGACCCUGUGCCGGGCGCCGCCGCCUGGGGGAGCGUGGCGUCAUUGCUCUGAAGUGUUGAACUCUCUUGUUUUGUCUCUUGCCCGUCCGGUUGUAGUUCCUGAAAUUAAAGAAGUGGUGAGCCACAAGUACAAGACGCCGAUGGCUCAUGAGAUCUGCUACUCUGUGCUGUGUCUCUUCUCGUAUGUGGCUGCAGUCCGCAGCAGUGAGGAGGACCUCCGGACCCCGCCCCGGCCCCUCUCUAGCUGAUGGGGAGGGCCAAAGGCUGCCCCUCGCUGCUGCCCCGGGCACGAUGCUGCCGAGCGCGCCAAUGGUGGCCCAGCGUGUCCUCUGCAGGCCUCUCGCCGCAGCUUAGACAGCUCUCAGUGUGUGUGUCUCAGUGUCCCACAGGGCUGAGCUAGUCUGUCCCACCUUUCCCUCCCCUCCCCUAGAAGACCAGCCUGCUGUCCCCUUGGGGCUCGAGUGUGUGUGUGUGUGUGCACAUCUCUCGGGCCAGUGGCUCCUGAAAACGCCAGAGGACACGCAGUGUGAGCCCCCUGCUGCGUGCUGUUGAGACGUCUGUUGUGGUUCUUGUCCGUGACAUCGUGGCUCUUCAGGGCAGACCCAGCCUCUCUGCCCUGUGACCCAGCAGGCUCGUCCCCGCCCCCAGUGAAGGGUGGGUGAGCACGGGAGGGGUCAGGGGGCAGCAGAGCCAGCGGGGCCCGCCCUGCUCCCCGGGCAGUUCCCAGGCAGCAGUCGCUGCCCACGGGCACAGGCCUGCCUGGCGGCUGCUCCCACAGCCUCCCCCCGCAGCGGGCCAUGCUGACCCCCUUUCGCUGCUGAGCGGCGGGUUCCCUGUGGCCUGCCCGCCUCGGCAGGAGACCCCCAGGGCUGCAGGCUGCCCCACCCGGAGCCGGGUGGGGUGGGGAAAGGCCAGUCCGGGCCCCACUCGUGUGUGAGGGCAGGCGAGCCUGGGAGCAGGCAACAGGGAACUGUAAAUAUUUUGGCUCCACACUAUUUAUAGACGGUGUACAGAGGUGUGAAUGUGAAAUAAACGUCUUCAACUCCCCACGG